CUCCGUGCCAGCAGCCGCGGUAAUACGGAGGAUCCAAGCGUUAUCCGGAUUUAUUGGGUUUAAAGGGUGCGUAGGCGGUUCGAUAAGUUGGAGGUGAAAUGUUAGGGCUUAACCCUGAAACUGCCUCCAAUACUGUUGGGCUAGAGAGUAGUUGCGGUAGGCGGAAUGUAUGGUGUAGCGGUGAAAUGCUUAGAGAUCAUACAGAACACCGAUUGCGAAGGCAGCUUACCAAACUAUAUCUGACGUUGAGGCACGAAAGCGUGGGGAGCA
rnacentral:rRNA from 1 species